CAGUAGCCGCGGUAAAACGGAGGGUGCAAGCGUUAAUCGGAAUUACUGGGCGUAAAGCGUGCGUAGGCGGUUCGUUAAGUCUGUUGUGAAAACCCCGGGCUCAACCUGGGAAUGGCAAUGGAUACUGGCGAGCUAGAGUGUGUCAGAGGAUGGUGGAAUUCCCGGUGUAGCGGUGAAAUUCGUAGAUAUCGAGAGGAACACCGGCGGCGAAGGCGGCCAACUGGACCAACACUGACGCUGAGACACGAAAGCGUGGGGAGCAAACAGGAUUAGAUACCCCCGUAGUCCCUGUCUCUUAUAC
rnacentral:rRNA from 1 species